rnacentral:rRNA from 1 species
AGAGUUUGAUCCUGGCUCAGAAUCAACGCUGGCGGCGUGCCUCAGACAUGCAAGUCGAACGCGAAAGAGGGCUUCGGCCUUUGAGUAGAGUGGCGCACGGGUGAGUAAGACGUAGGUAAUUCACCUUUGGGUGGGGAAUAGCGGCUGGAAACGGCCAUUAAUACCGCAUAACGCAGCGGCAUCCCUGGAUGAAUGGUUGUUAAAGCGGGGGCAUGGAGCAAUCCAUCCUCGCGCCUGGAGAGAAGCCUACGGCGGAUUAGCUAGUUGGCGGGGUAACGGCCCACCAAGGCAGUGAUCCGUAGCCGGCCUGAGAGGGCGGUCGGCCACACUGACACUGGAACACGGGUCAGACUCCUACGGGAGGCAGCAGUCGGGAAUUUUGGGCAAUGGCCGGAAGGCUGACCCAGCAACGCCGCGUGAAGGAUGAAACCCUUCGGGAUGUAAACUUCACAAGAACGGGAAGAAUAAGCGUGGGCGAACACCUCACGCGAUGACGGUACUGUUUGUAAGCUCCGGCUAACUCCGUGCCAGCAGCCGCGGUAAUACGGGGGGAGCAAGCGUUGUUCGGAUUUACUGGGCGUAAAGGGCGCGUAGGCGGUUGAACAAGUCACUUGUGAAAUCUGAAAGCUUAACUUUCAGCGGCCAAGUGAAACUGUUUGACUGGAGUGCGGAAGGGGCCAUCGGAAUUCUCGGUGUAGCGGUGAAAUGCGUAGAUAUCGAGAGGAACACCUGCGGCGAAGGCGGGUGGCUGGGCCGACACUGACGCUGAGGCGCGAAAGCUAGGGGAGCGAACGGGAUUAGAUACCCCGGUAGUCC